AGUACACCACCACCGUCAGCGCCUCAGUCUCCGCAGCCCACGAGUUCAGAUCCGUCACCGUUGCCCCCUUCCUCCUCCUCACCUACUCCGGCUCAAACAGAAACGUCUUCCUCACCUCUUAAUUCGGCCCAAGAGACCCAAACAGUUACAAACCAAAAUACCCAGGCCCAACCAUCCUUAUCAAACCCAGAAACAACAAACCUAAACACUCAGGCCCAAGUUGAUGUUUCAAACCCAAACCCCACAAACCCGACCCAACUACAAACCUCUCUGGACUCAAGCCCACAAACUCAUAAUCCUCAAUCUUCCCCGACGAUUUUGGAUCAAACAUCUCCUUCUCC
rnacentral:lncRNA from 1 species